ACAAAGCUUAAUGAAGAAGCCUUUCUUUUCUACCUAUACAGUCGCCAUCUCUCACCCAUCAAUCUCUUUCUCUCCACACUCUCAAGAACUCACUUACCCACACACAGUGAAGACUACAAUCAAGCCCUAGCUCCUCUUGUUUCUGGCGAAAUAACGCCACUGCUCGAAGCUUGCUCGACGUGCCGCGACGUCUCAUCUCUCCCGACGAAGCGAAAGCUGCCGCUGCUCUGGUUCGAUGCCGCUGCGUCUUUCUUGGCCGGGAAUCGACGCGCCACCGUUGCUCCCUCCUCGGUUCUUCUAGGCUGAGCCCUAGCUGCACCUCCUCGUUAAUCGGCAUCGCCGUUUUCUGGAUUCCAACAGUGAAGGUUACGCCGCCGCUAUUCCUGGCAAUUCCCACCUUCUCGUCGCUCGGCGUCGAUCCACAGCUCACACCGAUGGAACAGGGACCGCUGCCUUUCCUUAAUUACCUAAAAGCUAAGCCCUUUUCCUCUUUCUCUUCUAUGGGGUAAAUUCGAAUGAUGUUGUGGUGUACUAGUUAACCCUAGUGGAGUUGUGGUUCUCCUUGCUUGUUCAUAAGUGAUAUGAAACAUAGGGUUGUCAAUUUCUUUAACAAAGUUUGCAUAUCCGAAUUUCCUAUAAAUGAAGCUGUGUACUUAAGAGUUUUGUAUAGAUAAUAUGGAUACAUUAAGUAUAUAUCCUCUGCAUUUCUAUGCGACUGGGCAUGCAUUAAGAAGUGUGGUAAUCAUAGUCUGUUGAUUUUAUAGGAAGUAAAUCGAUUAUGCUAUUUAUCUCUUUAUCCAGCAUUUCUAUAUAACUGAUCUUGUGUUCUGUUGGGUAUAUGAGGACGAUGUAUUUGGGUAUUUAUUCACAAGAAAUCAUGAUUUUCUAAUAGUUUAGAAUAAGUGAAUUUGGGCAUUCUUGAGGUAAGAUAGCUAAAUAUUUGAUGCUUAUGUAAUUGAACUCUUGGGAGCGUGGAAUGUGAUUAUAUGAUAGAAAUUGGGCGAUAUUGAGCAUGUUACUAUGUGUUGGGCCAAUUUUAGUUUAAGAAUAAGGGAAGUACUACUUUUAAUAUUGAUUGGAGAAGUUGUGGUGAUUGAUUGUGUUAUAAUUUGCUUGUUAUAUGUUGAUGUGGUAAACGUGAGUGAAGUUUUAAGUUAAAGCAUUCUAACAUGUUGCAAGAUGAUGUAAUUGGAUCUCCACUCUUUUAUGUGGCCAAAAUAUGAGAUGUAUGUUAAGUUGCAACAGAAAAUGUGUUGCUGUCAGGUUUAGCUGGACGAACCAGUGUUUUGUGAGGGGUUUUCGGGAGUGUUCCUGUGGUCCAAAUGAUUUAAAAUUUUUACUGUGAUAACUUCAUUAUGAGUAUUAGAUCUCUGCAAAAUUUCAGCUGAAUCCGAGAUCUCUAGAUAGGUCAAACAAUUUUCUUAAAAGUACUGCGCGAAGCAGCAAGGUUUUGUGGCAGAUUCUGCCUUUUGUGAGAUAAUUUCAUAUACACUUGAGAUAUUGUAUUUUUGUAACUUUCUAAUAAAUAUAAACUUUAAUAGCUUUCUAAAAUGGUAAAGCUCGUAUUUUUCCUUGAAGCGAUUGAUUUUAUAUGAUUUUUCAAAGUUAGGAUUCAAAUGUGUGUGUUUCUUAAACUUGUGAUUGGUAGUUAAUUGAGAUCCUAAACUACUAAACUCGAAUUGAGGUUUUAUUGUUCUAAUUACCUAUUGAGGAUUAUUGAUUACUAAAGCUUGUUGAUAUGAUAGUUGAUGGACAUAAUUAUACUUAUAUGAUUAAUUACUUCGGGAUUUUGUGUUUUACAUGUAUAGUUAGUUGUAAACUGAUCUCUAUGGAAUGGAUUUGUUUACUUCUAAACUUUCUCAAGUAGAGGAAUUCCUAUAAGAUAGAAUAAUAGUUUAUACUUUCUUAAAGUUCAUAGAGUUAGUUUACUGAUUAGUCUAGUUGAUGCAACCCUAGCUUUGCAAGAAAUUAGAAGUUUAAUUAGGUUGUUACUCCUAUUUCUUCUUAUCUAGUUAUCCAAUCUUAUUUUAGAAUCUUGCUAUUAUGAAGGUGACAGUGGAAACGUUAGAUAAGUGAGCAAGGAUUUCUACUUCAUUAAGCGUAUCAUGUGGGCUUUCUAAACUCAUAAUUUGAAGUGCGCACUAUUUAAUUAUGUUAUUAUAUGAAUGAAGUUAUAUUAAAGUUAUUGACUUGCCAAAUUAUUUUAUGAGCUUGUAUGUUACCAUCUACGAGAGAUAUACGAUAUCGGCCCUAUGCUGAAGUGAGAUGCCAGUAAGGGUUUGUGCACAUAGUUGUGAUCGUGAGUCAUCGAGCAGGUUGGCCGGUCACUGUGAUCGGGAGCCUUCGGGCCGAUCACUGUGUUUGAGAAGGAGGCCUACUUCUUAACACAAGGUUACACGAUGCGUAGUUAUGGUUAAGCUGUGAUGCUGAUGGAUGUCGGCAGAGCGAAACUUUGAAACAUAAGCACUAAAUUAGGCUCAGGAUUUCAUGUCUUCAUACAUGUAAUCCACUUAAGUUACUCCGCUGCAACGCUUAGUGCGUUUUACUUUAUUGAUGUGUUGCAAAGAUUUCAAACUAAUAACUUACAAAAUUAUGUCACUUGGUACUUAGACAACUUGUCGUUAUGUAUUGUGAGUUGUCUGCUUUUGAGUUUUAGAAAAGAUUGUUUAUGAUUACCAAAUAUUUUGGUAAAUUAUUGUUUAAGCCGGUUAGUAAUUUUUAUUGAGAUCUAUUUUCUAUUUCAUUUUCUUA